AACGACUCUCGGCAACGGAUAUCUCGGCUCACGCAUCGAUGAAGAACGUAGCAAAAUGCGAUACUUGGUGUGAAUUGCAGAAUCCCGUGAACCAUCGAGUUUUUGAACGCAAGUUGCGCCCAAAGCCAUCCGGUUGAGGGCACGCCUGCCUGGGCGUCACG
rnacentral:rRNA from 1 species